UACGAGGGGGGCGAGCGUUGUUCGGAAUUAUUGGGCGUAAAGGGCGCGUAGGCGGUCGGAUAAGUCUUGUGUGAAAUCUUCGGGCUCAACUCGAAGUCUGCACAGGAAACUAUCUGGCUUGAGUGUGGGAGAGGUGAGCGGAAUUCCUGGUGUAGCGGUGAAAUGCGUAGAUAUCAGGAGGAACACCUGUGGCGAAAGCGGCUCACUGGACCACAACUGACGCUGAGGCGCGAAAGCGUGGGGAGCGAACAGG
rnacentral:rRNA from 1 species